rnacentral:misc_RNA from 1 species
AGUGAGAAUAUGUUCAAAGGCUUGUUCAGGAAGUCUCUUGUGCAUCAUGGUAUUUCAUGCUUCUUGAUCGCAGUUCAGUGAGCUUGAUUAUUGUUGUCAUUCAUUGGUUUGAGAAAAUAUAGGAAGUCAAACCCUUUAGUUGUAAGGCUCUAAACUAAAUUCUUUACUUGAAAAAAAAAGUGAGAAGUUCCUGUUUUCUCAUGAUAUUCUUUACUGCAUUAGGAAAUUC